rnacentral:rRNA from 1 species
CGUGUAGGCGGACUCGCAAGUCGGUUGUGAAAUCCCUGGGCUUAACCUAGGAACUGCAUCCGAAACUGCUUGUCUUGAGUAAUGGAGAGGGUGGCGGAAUUCCCGGUGUAGAGGUGAAAUUCGUAGAUAUCGGGAGGAACAUCAGUGGCGAAGGCGGCCACCUGGACAUUUACUGACGCUGAGACACGAAAGCGUGGGGAGCAAACAGGAUUAGAUACCCUGGUAGUCC